rnacentral:lncRNA from 1 species
UUCCCCCCAAGCUCACCAAAAUCAUACUGGGAUCAACUGUCCUGAAGGAUGACCUCUAGUCUCUGUUUAAGACACAAAGGAAGAAGAAAAAUCAAAAACAAAAAAUUUUUCCAGCAACUUCCACUCUUGUGUUAUAAAUGAACUGAAGUCAAAGAUUUUAAGAGUUGCCUGGCUCCUCUGGAGCUAACCUGGUAUAAAAAGGGCUCUAAUUGUGAAAGAAAGGGUCUCUUCUAUCUUUGGAGUAGUGCUCUCACCAACAAACAGCAACCCAGGCAGAGGGAGAUGUGGAUGGCUGUGGGAGGAGUUUUUUUUUUUUUUAUCUCGCGUCAAUCUACAACUGCAAAAUGAACUGGCCCAAUUUAAAGUUUCACAAUUUCUGACCAUUGGUCUACAUUCCUGAAAGGUUCUCCAUGAAAUAAAUGUGGUGUGUGUGUAAGUUGAAUCACUGGCUUCUAAUUCGUUUACUAUAAUGAAGAAAUAGACUUGGGAUUAUUUGAAUUCUGUCUUUGCAAUUUACAAGCUUUGUGAUCUUGGGCAAUCUCUCAACUUCUCUAAACUUCAACUUCCUCCUCUAAAAUGGAGCUGAACUCAAGGGCUGACCUGAAGAUUGUAUGCAAUGAGAAAGGCCAGGGCCUGGGACAUGGGAAGCACUCAGUAAUGGUUUAUGAAAUCUGCAUUGUAAAUAUCUAUUGAGGUCUCAUUUCGGAGUCCCUUAUCUCUUCUUCUGAUAAACAUUCAUUUGGUUAUUACUCAAUACCACAUAACUUUAAGCUUACCCUCCCCUCACCUUCUGUCAUGUUGAUAAUCCAAGUCCACAAGCAGGCAAGAACACAUUCAUGGAAUCUGCUAUUUAAAACAGCAACAGCUCAGGAGGCUGGCCCUGUGGCCGGGUGGUUGAGUUCACAUGCUCCGCUUCAGCGGCCCAGGGUUUCACCGGUUCAGAUCCUGGGCACGGACAUGGCACCUCUCAUCGGGCCAUACUGGGGCGGCGUCCCACGUGUCCCAACUGGAAGGGUCCACGGCUAAAGUAUACAGCUAUGUA